CGCAUAUCAGUGGCUCAUAUUUUUAGCAAAAUUGCUUUAAUUUGGUUAUUAAUAUUUACAUCCAAAAUAAGAUACAUACAUGGAUUGGGUCUCCUUAACAGAUUGCAGGGGACCUCAGGAGUUUGUGUUACACCACUGCUCAACCCUGGAUAAUGCAUUGUUCAGUCAAUGAAGUGACCCUUAAGAAGAUGUUUACAAAUAUAAGCAUGCUUUAUUCAGGGCCACCCAAACUAUUCUUGCUGGGGUUGGCCCUUUAUAAUUUUGUGAAAUAAGCAAGAUGAAAUUGCAACUCUUCUGCAAUCUUGCCUGUCAACUGUGUCUUUAUUGAAUAAACCCCACUUUGUAAAUGAGGCAAUUAUAUCACCUAGCUUUACUUGAUAUAUUAGCAGUAAGAUUGAUCAUGCUUUCUAAAAUGAGACAUCUCCAGUUGAAAUAGAACUAUUUGAUUUCCAACAAUUCUGAAAGCUGCUGAGAACAGCCGGCAUUGUUGAACAGAGGCUAGGUAUGCACCUUCGGACAUCUUUACAGUAAGUUUGCUUUAAAUUUGUCCCUCAAUUUUCUGUAAACAUCAUGCGCAGUACUGGGUUCUUCUGAAUAUAUUUAAACACAUAGUUUUGGGACCUGGAAUUAAAAUCCCUUUCUCCAAAUCUCUGAGGCUCCAAAAGCUAACAUAUCUUUAUGUUUUGUUUUUUGUUUAUUGUUUUACUUUGGCUUAAAAGGUAUCAAUGUUCACUAAGGAAUUAAACAAACUAAGCACAGUGAAAUCACUCUAUAUUUUACAAAUUCACCAAUAACCUAGAUGAGUUCAGUGCUUCCAAGUUCCCACUCUAUGUAUUGAGCCAGACGAAUGCAAAACUCUGUCAGUUUUGCCCCUAAGGUGGUGAACUCCUUCUUGACUCCAAAGGGCAUUCACAUUAACUUCUGGAUUAACCACAUUGUGCAUUAAAGCGCAUAACCAUGAAUAUGCCUCCUUUUAAAAUAUAUGCAGUUUACCUGUGUUGUCAAUGUCUUUUCUAUUGAAAAGGGUGCAAUACACAUAUUGUUCAACACAAUUAUAUAGAGUUAAUUCCAUGUGUAAAGAAUACAUUUGCAUUAUACUGUUUUUCAACUACUAGAAUUGUAAUUUAAUUUUAAAGGCACCCUUUAAACAAAAUAUGCAAUUGCAUGUGAAUGAUAGCUGAUAGAUCCCUUGAAAUGUGGUAUCCUCUUUGCAAACUCAUAUGGAAUUCUGUAGAUCCCAUUUGCCUCUUUUUCAAAUCCCCAACUAUUCUCCAUGCAGGAGACACAUCUCCUAUCACAUGAUACCCUGUUUUAGUGCAUCAAGCAACCAAUUAUCUGUGUAAAAUGUCAAGUAACAGAAGGGUUGUAUGUGCACCCCUCCAACUUUGAAGAAUGCAUAUUAAAGUACUUACAAAGUACCUUUGUGUGCAUCAAUGGUUUAAGGGACUCUCUUGGACACUGAACUUCCACUUAAAUAUAAUUUUUAGAUGAUGCAGUAAUUGUUUCCCUACCACAAUCAUCACUUUACAGUGCAAAGCAGUCUAGAAAAAGCAGUGGAAUUUAAAAUGUUCCCAUAUGAAUAUGAAGCAGCAUUUUUUGAUGCUUUGCAGUGUAGAGAGUUUGAUUUUUGGCCGAUAUAGGCUCUGAUUUCACUAUAACUCUAUUGUUUCAAAGACAUACUAGGGUGCAGAUGUAGAUGUACGUGUAGCUUAGAUCACGCAUUUGGAUCAUGACAAAAGAGGUUUGGGUCAGGAAUCUCUGUGUAGGAGGUGAGCCCACAAACACAUUGUCAUAUCCUCCAUCUACCUUGCUAUAUAAUUGCACAUUAAUAUAAUGUCCAGCUAAUAACAGAGCAAAAUAAGGAAUAAGCUACACAAGCUUGUAAAGCACAUGAUCAUGCAGUGCAGAGUUAUAGCUCAAAGUAAAUAGUUGAAAAAGAAAGAUUUAAAUGAAACUACAUGAUACCCGCCCAAUUUUAAAUACCUAUAGUCAUAUUAGUAACCAGAGUUACACACAUAUUAAUGUACUAUUUAAUAAAUAUUAAAAUAGCAUUCCUAGCGUUCCUACUGGCGCUCUAGCUGAAUGUAAAUGUGGGUAUGUGAGUAUAGACACAGACAACUUGCAAAGUUACCUGUGUCUCGUUUCAGCAGAGAUUGGCCAUUUCAUUUAUUUUUACUUUUAUUGUGAAAUAACAAAUUGUGAAAUGUAAAAAUUUCAAAAGCAAUUAAAAUAUUCCUUUAUUAAAUGUAA